UACGUAGGGAGCAAGCGUUGUCCGGAAUCAUUGGGCGUAAAGCGCGCGUAGGUGGCCUCGUAAGUCCGCUGUGAAAGUCAAAGGCUCAACCUUUGAAAGCCGGUGGAUACUGUGGGGCUAGAGUACGGAAGAGGCGAGUGGAAUUCCUGGUGUAGCGGUGGAAUGCGCAGAUAUCAGGAGGAACACCAAUAGCGAAGGCAGCUCGCUGGGACGUUACUGACACUGAGGCGCGAAAGCGUGGGGAGUGAACAGG
rnacentral:rRNA from 1 species